rnacentral:rRNA from 1 species
CCUACGGGAGGCAGCAGUGGGGAAUAUUGCACAAUGGGGGGAACCCUGAUGCAGCGACGCCGCGUGAGUGAAGAAGUAUUUCGGUAUGUAAAGCUCUAUCAGCAGGAACGAGACAAGACGGUACCUGACUACGACGCCCCGGCUAACUACGUGCCAGCAGCCGCGGUACUACGUAGGGGGCAAGCGUUAUCCGGAAUCACUGGGUGUAAAGGGAGCGUAGACGGCUGAGCAAGCCUGAAGUGAAAGGCGGGGGCCCAACCCCCGGACUGCUUUGGGAACUGUACGGCUGGAGUGCAGGAGAGGUAAGUGGAAUUCCUAGUGUAGCGGUGAAAUGCGUAGAUAUUAGGAGGAACACCAGUGGCGAAGGCGGCUUACUGGACUGUAACUGACGUUGAGGCUCGAAAGCGUGGGGAGCAAACAGGAUUAGAUACCCUAGUAGUC